rnacentral:pre_miRNA from 1 species
AGACCUGGCAUCCUUCAAAGCCCAUUGAAGUCAAUGGGAGUCUUUCCAUUGACUUCAAUGGGUUUUGGAUCAGGCCCU